CCUGACUGCUGUACUCUAUAUUUUAAGUUUCAGCCAUGGCUGAAAAGCUCCAAACUUCUCCGACUUCAACAAGCUCCGAUCUCGGUCCUUAUAUUUCCGACGGCAGCCCGGGCUCAAGUCUACCCGAGCCUAAGGGUAGUUCCGCCCCUGUGUACAUUAUUCAAGUCAAUUUAUAUUAAUGAAGUCAAUAAAAGUAAAUCAAUUAAGAAAUAUGAAUCCAAUUUUAAUAAAAAUAAUAUAAAUUAGUUAGUAUAAUUUUAUUAAGAGAAAUGCUAAAUAACACGAAUCGGUUACCACACGAAUUACACUAUUCAUGUUAUAGUGGUGACAAUUAGGCUAGUUAUACGGUACCACUUAGGUUGUAGUACCACUUAUGUCAUUCACCUGCUUGAACUUGCUAUAGCAGGUAAUUUUAAUUUUAUUUCAUUUGACUAUUUUCUUUAAACGUCUUAUUUAUUCUUCCUUUCUUAUUUUCUUUCCUAAACUUAACAUAAACCACUGCUAUUGUUUUUUUCUGCUUUGGUUCAUCCAGAAAAUGAUUCUAAAAUUCAAUAAUGGCAUAUCGCCAAAUUUGUUAGGGAUAAUAUCGGCAUGCCUUAAAAUUGUAUAAACUAAUUCUUAUACGGUUGCUUUUACUGUUUGUUAUGCUGGUGUCUCAAUCGCCGCCUCUAUCUUCUCUUCGUCUACUAAAGAUCAUAAAUAUCAGGUUCAUACAAUUUUUUUGCCUUUUGAGUAUGUUUAUGUGAACGGGAUACCUCUUUUCCACGAAGAGCUCCAGACUUGUCCAAGUCCACCAAAGAAGCUGAACCCGAAAACUAUUGGUAUAGUAAAGUGUUUGGUCUUUGGGGAAAGGCCGAGAUUCUAUGUAAACCUGCCCUUUUCACGGAGGACGAGCAGGAAAAUAUUAAAUUAACCAUCCAGAGCAAUGUGUAUGAUUAUCUUGGUAUACUCCUUGAAGGACGUGACCAGAUUGAAGAAGAAAGUUUGGCCGUAACAUAGAGAAAGAUCAAUCUUCCAAUGAAAAUGACCCAAGUGGUUAGUCUCGAAGAACAUCGGAGGAAAAAUGCAAUACAUUUCAGAUCUUGAUCUUCCUCAUGAAGAGCCUUCAAUGCUUGAAUAUCAUGAAGCAAGGCAACAUAAGAACCGAGAGACAAUACAAGGUUGUGUGGCUACCGGUGGUGGGACCGAUCAACAACAUGAAAUUAUAUAAAACAGAGCCAAUUUGAUGUUCUCCAGUCAUUGAUGCAUCUUUAAAAAAUAAGUAAUUAUUAGGACUUGAUGUGAACUACUAAAAAUUUACUUGUCUUCUAGUCCUACUUUAUUAGAAACAAGAGAUUUUUUCUAUGA